AACGAACGCUGGCGGCAGGCUUAACACAUGCAAGUCGAGCGCCCCGCAAGGGGAGCGGCAGACGGGUGAGUAACACGUGGGAAUCUACCCAUCUCUACGGAACAACCCAGGGAAACUUGGACUAAUACCGUAUACGCCCUUCGGGGAAAGAUUUAUCGGAGAUGGAUGAGCCCGCGUUGGAUUAGCUAGUUGGUGGGGUA
rnacentral:rRNA from 1 species